rnacentral:rRNA from 1 species
AACGAACGCUGGCGGCAGGCGUAACACAUGCAAGUCGAGCGCCCCGCAAGGGGAGCGGCAGACGGGUGAGUAACGCGUGGGAAUCUACCCAUCUCUACGGAAUAACGCAUGGAAACGUGUGAUAAUACCGUAUACGCCCCUCGGGGGAAAGAUUUAACGGAGAUGGAGGGGCCCGAGUUGGAUUAGCUAGUUGGUGGGGUAAAGGCGUACCAAGGCGACGAUACAUAGCUGGUCUGAGAGGAUGAUCAGCCACACUGGGACUGAGACACGGCCCAGACUCCUACGGGAGGCAGCAGUGGGUAAUAUUGGACAAUGGGCGCAAGCCUGAGCCAGCCAUGCCGCGUGAGUGAUGAAGGCCCUAGGGUUGUAAAGCUCUUUCACCGGUGAAGAUAAUGACGGUAACCGGAGAAGAAGCCCCGGCUAACUUCGUGCCAGCCGCCGCCGUAAGAC